AGGUCUCAGCCACAAGGUGUCCUUGAUUAUCUGGUCCUUGAUUUUUACCCACAAGUUCUCAACUUGUCUGUGGCUGUUUAUCAGAGGCAGCUGUGCACAAUCUAUCCAGUUCUUAAAUAGCGAAAGGAGGUGAGCCUUAUCUCAGUGCCUGGGAGGAUCAUGGAACAGGCUUUCCUGGAAGCUGUGUUAAGUAACGUAAAAUUAAAGGUCUUAAAAGGAUGGAAUUUUGAAGAUCCAAAGGGAAAAUUUAUAUCAGCACAACAGAUGGUAGGAAUAAUGCCUACAACAAGUUGUGUCUUAGAUGAAGACUACUUUGAAGUGAAGAAAUAAAUAAAAGGAACUGGAAGUUUUGAUGUGUGAUAAGCAGUAUGGCUUACCUGCGUAUCAAGAGACUUCUUGGGAGAACUGUGUGUGCAUUGGAAUGCUGGCAUAAAACAGAACAUCACUUGCUCAGAGAAGUCAUGUGAAAAAAGAGGAAGGUUUUUCCCUUUGUAUCAACAAUGCGUUGACAUCCAAAAGGUAGGAGUUAUACUUAGAGGUAUGGAAAAAGGGGAAGAACAUGACCAACUUUGUGAAGAUAAAUUAUUAAUGAACAAUGAAGAGAGUCUUUUGGAGCACAGGGUAUUGUAAUAAGGGAAUUUGAAGGAAUCUGAGCUAUCCAGAAGUCUGAGAAAUGGAUGAAAGGAGAGUAUGAUCCAUUCAUGUAAAGAUGAAAUGAUGACACCCUUAAAGUUACAUGGCCCAUCUGACAUGGAGGAAAAACGAAGAGUCGUGACAUUUACUGAAGUGUUGAUGCACAGAUAUGGAAAGCUUCAAUGCUCUCAGGAUGCUUUCAUGGGAUGUAUCUUGAAAUUAUGGCCUUACAAUUAAGAAAGUAAAAAGCUCACUUCCCUUGCUGGAUAAGAUCAGAAGAUAAAGGCAGAUAUGUAGAAAACCUAUUAUUCACUGCUUGGAUUUUGAGUAGGGUCAGCUGAGAGAACUGAGUAACACUGUCCGCUAGAACUUUGAGAGAUGUCAAUGUGGCCAUUUAGUAUAAAUUUAUUUUCACAUGCAGUUCACCUGGCUAUGUAGUUUUUGUUUCCCCAGUAUGGUUACACAAGCAGUUCUUUUCUGCUGAGCACAAGGUUAUUUCUGGUACAUUUUAUAAUCUGAAAUCUCUAUGUUGAAAAAAUCUUAAAUAUUUAUUCUUCAAAAUGGCUGGGUGUAUCCUGUGAGUAGCUGCUGAUUCAGAGUUCCAUACUUAAAAUCUCUGAAUUCAGAAAUGCUGAGUAAGAAACCAAGUUAGUAAUUAAUCCUUAUGGAAUAUGCAAAAAUUAUUUUUAAAAAAAGUUUAAUUAAACUGGAUUAUUAAAAUACUAUGAGUAUAUGUGGCUGAGGGCCAUAUCUGUGAGAGGUUACAGCUAUCACUGACUCCAGUGGAAGCUGGGGAAUUGUACAGCUUUGGAGGAACAGCUUCCUAAGUCAGUUGGUGUUGCAAUGUGUUGAGAAGGGGUGUGACAAAACCUCUUUGAUUCCAGCUGCUGAUUAGCAUAUGCCCUUUUGGAUAACUGCAAAUGCUGCUCUUUCUCUCAACUGUGUAUUUUUUAUUUUUUAACUCUCAGUUCCCGUAAGAAUAUUUUUGUAGGUGUGCAUUUAGGUGUGUCACAAGCUGAUGAUUCCCUUUAAAAUUUCAUUGUUUUAAAACAGGAGGAGUGGGGAAAAAGCUCAUAAAUCUAACAAGAAAGCAAUUUACGGCUAUAUCCAUUAUGGGGAAUAACCUGCUACAGUGAAAUAGCACACCCGGUAAUCAAUGAGUCAUAUGUGCUGAUAGAAACCAUUUUAAAACAGAGAAGAAAUAGAACAGUCCACAUAGGAAAAAAAAAAAGAACACAGACCAACCCAUAACCCCCCGCAAUAACAUCUAUAUCAGUUAUAGGUGCAAUUCAAACUUAAUUUUUCCUUUUUUUUUUUUUAUUCAUUUCAUUUAGUGCUUUUCACUUUCUCUACUGAUGUGCUUAUGUGUGGGCUUUGGUGCCAUUGGGCUUUGGAAGUGUUUAGAGCAAGACUGCAGUGUAGAGGUUACCCUAGCAUCCUUCUGAGGAGAUUUCCUCCUGCAGAGAACUUGCCUUCUGCAGAGAGUGGCCCACAGCUUUGUGGUGGUGUCUCUGCGACCAUCUUCUCUCUGCUGCUGGCUGGGGUCAUUGCUGGGGAAAAGGUGGCUGGGUUCAGAUUCUUAAUCUACUGCUCUUUAUUGUGUGGUCGGUGUUGGUGAGUUUUCAGAGUGAUCUCUGGACUGUUACGCAUAAUGUCUUGUACCAGUACAUGGUCUGGAAUGGCCUGGUGAGUCAUAGAGGAAACAAAAACAUUUUAAACCCUGUUUGCUUCUGGGUUGGUGCUCUUUGGUCUGCAGGGCUGCUGUUUCUUUGGCAUGUCUUCCCCCAAGAUCUCGGUUCUUCAGUUACAGGACAGUGUGAGGGAAUUUAUUCCCUUGCUACCCUCUGUGCUUGUUGGGAAGAUGCAUGGUUGUCUGCUCUUUCCUUCUCUCUCUUAAUUUCUAUAAAUGGACUAAAAGGAAUAUGCUGCAUAAACUGUAGGCACUCUGCUUUCACAGAUCUACCUCCAUGCUGAUCUUCUACCCAGGCUGCAGUUUUAGUCACCCUGUCACAGAUACAAGUCUAGAUGCAAGCCUAGCUCAAUUAGAACCUUAUUUACAUGGAGCUUUUCAUCUUCCCCUGCAAGCUCUUCAACUUGUGUACUGCUUUGGGUUUGAUCCCUGUGCAGGGCACUGAUCCCUGUCUGUUAGAUUUGUAAGCACAGAUGGUUUCUUCUUGUCUUGGGUAUUACAAAACAGGACAAGUCUGUGUCUGAGCCUUGAUUCAGCCUGUUUAAAAUUUCCAGUGAAGUCACACCCCACCACGUAACUCCUUGUUUCUCAGUUACAGCAUUCUUUGGCCCCUUUUACCUGUUUUUUUUUUUUUUAUUGAAAUUUUCCCAUCAAGCAGACUUUCCCAGUCUGUCCCUUUGUCUCUGUCACUUCUCUAUUUGUGUUUCUCCCUGCACUGCCCAUUAGGUUAAACAUGAAAUCACUCAGCUUUACUUUGAAGGCCCAUCCUAGCCUCUUAGUACUCUCCUUUCCUCUCUCAUUUUUUACUGUGAUGUCAGCACCGCUGUUCAGUUAGGCUGACCCUCGCUGCUCAUGCCCACCUUGGGCAUGGGCAAAAAGUUCAUUACACAGCAAAUUCUGCAGUGGGAUUCUACAGAGGCAAAUACCUGUACACUUUUGCUUGGCUCUUCUGCAGUAAAAAUCCAAUACACACCACUAAAACUGCCCAGGUAAGGAUUGAACAGUAACUUAAAUUUCUUUCAUUUAUUAUUUUUUCUAUAUCUGUUUGUUUGCACUCUGAAGAGUGCUAAGCACCCUCAGCUCUCAUAGCUUUAGCGUUUUACAAGGUCCUCCCCUCACUAUCUGACCUCCCUAUCGUUCAGAAGGAGGUUAGUGCUCCAGGCACCGGGAGAAAAUAGAAAACUUCAAAGUCUUUGUAUUAUAAUAGGACAGCAUAUCAUACAGUUUAUUUUAGCAGGGCUAAGGAUCUGUGGAGUUCUUAUAAUUAUUAAUGUCAUUUCUCCUGUUAAAUAUUCAGAUUGCUGAAAUGCUGAGUAUUAGUGCUGGGCACUGAUGAUAAAUAUUUGUCUUGGUUCCUUGGGACCUGGGAAAUCAUUUGGAAACUAUUUGAUAAGGGGUUAUAGUGAUGCUACAAUCUCCUAAUCCAAAAAGUCACUGCCAGGCACUGCAUUUGCAUAUGCAAGAUGAGAUUUUUUUUUUCCAGAGAGAUGACUGGUAAUGCUGUUUUCUCUUUUGCUCCUGUCAUUGGUCCAGAGUGUUUUAUUUCACAGUAGCAAAGAGGGUUUCUUCCUGCUUUCCCCUUUUGCCAUUUUUCACCAGCAAAAGCAAAUGUUUGUUCUCCAGGCAAAUGGACUCCAUGGACCCUUUAGCUUCAGUGACUCACAAAUGCCUUUAUGACUUUCUGCUAGAUACAAGCAACGUUGGAUGACAAGCAGAGAUUUCGAGGGAAUGGGUUUCUAGCUCCUUGUGCCCUGGAUCUGAUCUAGAGCCUAUUUACUAUGCCUGUAGGAAGAGGCUUCUUGUCUUUGAUAAUCUUUGUCUUGUACUCCUCAUUGUGCUACUGUUCUCAGGGCCUGAGUCCAGAACUCUCAUAGAAUUAGCUGUGAUGCCUCAAAAACCUGUAAAACAGUGGGGAACUUCAGCUUUGACAGUUAGCCUGACUUCAUUCUUCCAUCAUCUCUGCUCUAAACAUAAUGCUUAUUGUGUUACAACAGGCACCCCAAAGCUUGUUUCCUACCUCUCCAGGGUUCAGAUCCGUCCAGUCAGAGCUGAAGGUAAAUUCUGUGGCACCCUAAAAGCAAAUCAUGUAGUAGAUGGAUCACCACUUGGAAAAAGCCAUGAUACUGAGUCUUUGUCCUUAUUCUGCACUCUGGAGUGGGGCCUUGCUCUUUUGUUCUGGCUAUCUGGUGCUGUGAUCCAUCAGCAUAGCCAGGGCAAAGGACCACACCACCGAGCAGCUGAUCGCACACUCGCAGGUAUCUCUCUGUGGCUCAACAGAAUACAACUGUUUCCUUUCCUGCAGAUGAAUGAAGACCUGAUUUUAUGAGUCCUCUGAUGAGCUUUGGAUGUGGAAUGCUCCAAAAGGCCUUUGCCAAAAAGAUGUCCAGUGCAUAGCUUCACAGCCCAUCUUCCCGGUUUCUGCUGGCACGUAUGACAUAAUAUCUACCAUAUGAAAGGAAGGAAAAAGGCUUCCAUAUAAAGUUCUUGCACAGUGUAAAGCAAGGACUUUAGGCUGGCGGAGACUGGUACUUCUGAACAUGGGACAGGUGACAAAGAUGCGUGGUCCUAACUGUUCUGCAACACAACCCCUCCACAGACCAUGGUGUGUAUCCCUCCUGCUGUAAUGCUGUAACAAGGGAGGAGUCAAUAAUAUUCCAGAUAUCCCUCAGCCUCCAGCCAGGAUAAAAUGCCAGAUUAACAAUGUACUGUGGAUGUUAAUGGAGAAGUUGGAGAGUGAAGACAAGCCUUGUGCUCAUUUCUAACACUGUUUGGGCAUUUAUGAAACACUCUGUGCAAAUUUGAAUUCCUCUAGGAUGUCGUAGCUAGUGCCGUUUUUACUGAAGACGGAGUCUGUUGACCACAUGAGGCCAUGGGGCAGCUAGACCACCCAGGACUCUUUGUCAUUUUCAAUAACUAAAUUAUUUACCAGAGGGCAAAUUGUACCAUACUAGCACGUAGAAUAUUCAUUCUUCUCUGGACAAUCUUAUAACUGCCUCUUUAAAGAAAUUAUACUAGCUUUCAAGUCAUUUGUUCGUAUUUGAUUCGUUUGUGCUGUAUAAGAAAAUGAGGAGUAAUGCUGAAUUAUAAGAAAAUAAGUUGUGCCAGAUGUCUCCUGUGCAAUGGAGAGGAUGCCUAUUUACCCCAAAUUUUCAAGUGUGUGUCCAGUUUGGGGCUUUCCCUAGGUAUUAAUCCUGAAAUGUGAUUUUGGAAAUGCUGAGCCUCAGAAGUUCUCAUAGACUCAUGGUGAACUUGAAGACCAGUCACAGCAUGUUGGGAAAUGAGGUACUCUUUUCUCAACUCUCCAAAGUUAUGACAUCUGGUUGUAACACUUGAACUUUUAAGUACUUUUCAUGAAAGAGUGCAAGAGACCACCCAGCAUAGCCACCAACCCGGUGGUUAGGAAACUCAUCUGGUUCUUCUGGUGUGACUCUUUUUCUCUGUUUCUGGUUUUGAGAAGAAAUUCAGCCUGAAGCUGGAAGAAUUUCAUCAAAUCCUAUUGAGAUGAACAGUAUUGCAUACCAAACGUUAACAUGAGAAGGGACAUGCAGUUGUAAUGACAGCCGUGAGAUCCGUACGUUCCUAUUUCUGGUGGGACCACAAAAGUCUUACCAACGGUACUUGAAGUGUCGUGACUGCCAUGAGAGAUGGUCAGUGUGUUAGGAACCUGGAAGUAACAGGAUGCUGUCGUGGCCCCAUGGGCUGUGGGAGGAAGUUUUUUCUAUGGAAGCUGCAAGGAGUUAGCAUUUCUGACAGCAUCUGGCUUGGUUGUAAAUAUUAAUGGGUUCAAGACUGACUAUGUAAAACAUGAAAUGUGUUCAAAACCAAAUCAUGAAAAUGUGCAGGAGUUGAAAAUAAGGCCCCAGCAGAAGUACAUUGUGCUUUCUACUGAGGAUCUGGAACUGCCAAGUCAUCGCCUGUGAACUGUGUAUGACAAGGAGGAGUGAAACUGGCUUUGAAUUAACUGGAAUAUACAUCAGAGUGCCUUAAAGCUUUUGUCAAGUCUUGUAUCCCAUUAGUCCCUGUUGAAGAGGAAACCUUAAAGACAGAGGAAUUGUUAAUGCUCUUGGGGAAGGAGGAGAAAACUACUUCAGGAUGCUGAUGAUCUGCUGUUGUCCCCUCGGAGCGUACAUCAGUGCAAGCUGCUUCAUUUUCCUGGGGUGCCCUAGAACAGGAGGAGAAAGCUGAGGAUGGAAAUUGAAGCUAUGUUGCUGCUCUGAGGGUUUCAGACCAAACCUGUGUGAGCUGCUGGGCUUGCUGCCAGCCACAUACAUGGUAAGAGAAGGUCUUCCCUGCUGCUCUUCGGGUGAAGAUGAGCAAAUGUCAUAUCUCUACACUUCAAAGAGGUUGGGAUUAACAGAGCGCCCUAAUGCCAUGCGGCAAAUGGGUGCUGGCUGUCUCCUGGAUGCCAGGUGGACACACGGAUGACCUAAUCUGUGAACAGCUUUGCCAGCUAUUUGGGACUGGUCCUGCAGCCAUGAAGGCACCUGCUUGUGGAGUGAAUUCAUCCUUGGAUCUUUAGCUGGCAUGAACCCUGAGGUUGUAGGUGAUCAUCAUUGGGGUUUUGAUGUGCGUGGCCAUGGAUCCUGUGCCAGCUGCUUCCUUUGUAGCAUGUUUUGGGGACCUGCCCUCGCUCCUAACCCAAUGCAGGAUGACCCAGCUGCUCUCUGACAGAGGAACCAGGAUUUUAUGGGAUGCCUUUUCCUGUUGUGCCAUAUUGUAUAUCCACAUGGUAACAGGAAAGACUGGUGUCUGGCUGUGGAGGAGCUGGGCAGGAUGCCUGGUGCCCUAGAAAAGGGGCAGAGGCAGUACCCUGUCCCUGCUCCACAGGCAGUCUGAGGCUGGUCCUGCACCUGCUGAAGGUGGCUGGAGUCUGGGUGCUGCCUCCUGUGGGAUGGGUGCGGGCA